UUGUUCCAGUGCUUAACUACCCUGACAGAAAGUUUUUCCUAAUGUCCAACCUAAACUUCCCUUGCUGCAAUUUAAGCCCAUUGCUUUUUGUCCUAUCCUCAGAUGUUAAGGAAAACAACUUUUCACUCUCCUCCUUGAAUUACCUCCUUUUACAUUCUUGAAAACUA